rnacentral:lncRNA from 1 species
UGUCAGAUAAAAGGGCAGCAGCACCUGGGAAAAACGGUAACGCAAAUGGAGAGUAGUGUGAUUACCUUCAGUGUUUCCUGGUGUUAGGCCUGCAUUGCAUAUAUUUAAGGUUGUGAUAGUGUUUUCCCUUGAAGUAUAUCUGGCAGAUGUGGUUUUGGUAUGAAAUGGGACCAAGCUGGAGAAUGACUUUGUUCUGAAGGUUUUCCCAGACGACAUCAGCUUCAGAGCUCUCCACGCUAGAGCUGCUGGCAACUCUGACAAAGUUAAUUCUUCAGUAAAUCUGGGAAGGAUGUGUCACCCCAGAUUUGAUACGGGAAUCUGGAACUGUUUAGAGCCAAUCUCCUACAGCCUGUGAAUCCAUUAAGACAGUUGGACCUUCAUGAAAGGUUUCUGAUAAGAUCGCAGCCUGAAAUAGAAGGAGUGGCAAGAGAAGAAUGAUCAUGUGACUAGAAGUGAAAAUAUUCCUCUGAAUAAACGUAGUACCAGUACUCA